rnacentral:tRNA from 1 species
GCUCCGAUGGUGUAAUGGCGUAAAGCAUUUCCGCCCGAUCAGCAGGAGGUGCGGGUUCGAUUCCCGCCUGGCGCU